UACGUAGGGUGCAAGCGUUAAUCGGAAUUACUGGGCGUAAAGCGUGCGCAGGCGGUGAUGUAAGACAGGUGUGAAAGCCCCGGGCUCAACCUGGGAAUUGCAUUUGAGACUGCAUAGCUAGGGUGCGGAAGAGGGAAGCGGAAUUUCCGGUGUAGCGGUGAAAUGCGUAGAUAUCGGAAGGAACACCAGUGGCGAAAGCGGCUUCCUGGUCCAGCACAGACGUUCAGGCACGAAAGCGUGGGGAGCAAACAGG
rnacentral:rRNA from 1 species